CCCAUGGUCAACACAUUUAUUAAAAAUGAUCGAACAAUAUUUACAAAUAAAAUUAAACUCACACCAGAUUAACCAAUAACCAAUUUUACAUUAUUAUUUUUUACAAUAUUUGCCAUAAAAGACAGUUUGUUUUUUUAAAUGUCCCUUUUCCAAGACAUGGUGGAAAAUACAUUCUGACAAUGCGAUUUAAAUUUUCUAGAUAUACAUUUUUUUUCGUGUGCUAACCAAUACAUUGUACAACAGAACAGUGCAUUUAAUGUCUGGUAAAUCAUUAAAUAUCAAUACACCUCUUUGCAUACAAUAUAUUAUACUCCACAAUAUGCAUUAUUCGUAUAUCUACACAGACUGUACAUUAUUCGCCUGUCAUAAAUAAA